CGCAAGCCUGACGGAGCAAUACCGCGUGAGGGAGGAAGGCUUUUGGGUUGUAAACCUCUUUUCUCAAGGAAGAAGAUCUGACGGUACUUGAGGAAUCAGCAUCGGCUAACUCCGUGCCAGCAGCCGCGGUAAGACGGAGGAUGCAAGUGUUAUCCGGAAUCACUGGGCGUAAAGCGUCUGUAGGUGGUUUAAUAAGUCAACUGUUAAAUCUUGAGGCUCAACUUCAAAAUCGCAGUCGAAACUAUUAGACUAGAGUAUAGUAGAGGUAAAGGGAAUUUCCAGUGGAGCGGUGAAAUGCGUAGAUAUUGGAAAGAACACCGAUGGCGAAAGCACUUUACUGGGCUAUUACUAACACUCAGAGACGAAAGCUAGGGGAGCA
rnacentral:rRNA from 1 species